ensembl:lncRNA
GGACGGCCGGCUGCUGGGGCUGCCAGGACUUCUAAGAAGCCCCACGCUGGCUGGUUGGGGACAGGAGGUGACUCGGCCAGCUGGGCAGACAUCAGGGAGGCCCGGGCUUCUGGUAAACAGGCCUGGGACAGUGAAAUGAUGUAAACAGCAGGUCUGCGUCCGGGACAGUCCCCGGGCUCGGCUCCCUAAUGGCACAGACACGGACGCCGAGGCUCAGAGAGCUUAGAGGACAAGAUGGGGGCUUCAGAGGGGGCCCGUCCGCUGAUCCCCGACCCUCCUCUGACCGUAACGUGAUACUCCGGGUCCCUGCCACACCCUGGGCUGAUGAGUCACCAAAACCUAUUUUACGGAACAAGUAAUAAGUGUUCUGUCCCAUCCUCCUGUGUGCAGUCGGGUGCGAGCCCUCAGACUUCACACCUGGACCCCAGGGCACCGCUUCCCGGCUCCCUGCUCCAGUCUGCAAUCUACAUACCGCUCGCUCACACUCAUCCCCUAAAACCAGACUUGAGCCCUGCUCCUUCCCUGCUCAGGAACUAUCACUGGCUCCCUACUUCCCCAAGACCACGUCCAACCCCGUCUUCACUGCAGGGCCUGGGCAGCAGGCUCCCGGCAGCCUUUCUCCCCUUCCGCCCCCUCCACUCGGGCCUCCCUUCUGCUUCUUCCCCCCAAGACGUCCCCCCAACACCACCACCACCACCCACCUGUCUCUGCUUUUCCACAGGGCGCUGCUCCUCCUCCGGAAAUCCCUCUCCUCCUCUGACCAGGCCCUACUGUGCCCUGCGGCUAUCAGCAUCCUGCCCUCGCUGUGCCCGGAGGCUUUUAUUUCUUGCACCGCAUCAAACACCAGUGUUCUUGUACUGCAUCAAACACCCUUCUCACAUGCGUGGAUCUGUGCUGUGCAUGUGUGUUCAGAGCUGGAACACUCUCUCCGUAUCCAACACAGCGGGCAGCACGGUCCCCACAGAACGUGGGUGCUGCAAACAUACACUGAUUGACUCGACACCCAAAAGACACCAACAACAUGCAUGGGCUUCUUUUUCCUGCCCUUGGAAAGCAGGAACCGAGUUCCCGUCGUGGCUCAGCAGUAACAAAGCCAAUGAGGAUCCAUGAGGAUGUGGGUUUGAUCCCUGGCCUUGCUCAGCGGGUUAAGGAUCCAGCGUUGCCAUGAGUUGUGGUGUAGGCUGAAGACAUGGCUCAGAUCCGGCACUGCUGUGGCUGUGGUGUCGGUCUCACCCGAAGCUCUGAUUCAACCCCUAGCCUGGGAACUUCUACAUGCUACAGGUGGGGCCCUAGGAAAAAAAAAAAAAGAAAAGAAAAAGAAAGCAAGCAUGAGAAAGCAAGCAUGAAAUCAAGAAUCCACAAAGUGGACCUGGGACCUCGGGGGGUGGGGGGGGGCUACCUCCUCUACGCAUCUUCUCCACAGGCUCAAAGUCUGAACCAUGAGGCUUCACAGAGUGAAGCCUCCCAGCCCAGCAGGUGCCUCCCCCUGAGUUUUAGGGUGCAGCCUGGCAGGCUGGUGUGCACUCAGGGCAGAGUCACUCGCUCCCCCAGCCCCCAGCUCCCCCCUGGUUGCUCCCACUCACAGGCAAGCCGCACAUGGAGUAGAUAAGAGAGUGGCAGAUGUGACAAAAGUAAUAGGCAUGGAGUGGGCACAGGUAGUCGUAGAGGUCCUGAUGUGGAACUUAUUAAGGGACUUUGGGACAUCACUGGAAGUUAAUAAAUUGCUCAAAAAAGCCCUCCGCACAAGGCAGGCUUGCUUGACUAGUGGAGGCGCGAGAACUGCCUCAGGUCGUGGGUGGGGGAUGGGAUGAGGCCUGGAUUCAGAUUCAGACCAAGGGCGGGAGUUUGAGGACCAUCCUUCUGCUGAUUUGCAUACACACCUCACCAGAUACCAAGGAGGAGCUGCUACUCCCAGAAAGGAAGAGGCGGGCCUUUCCAACCCCAGGCCCCUUGAAGGAUAAAGCUGUAGCCCACCAGAUCCUCGGGGCAGAGCUUCUGUGCCUGCCCGAUGGCAUCUCUCACAAGCAUCCUACCCUAAUAAUCUAUUUCUUCCCCAUCACUUUGUCUCUCGCUGAAUCCUUCUGAGAGGGGACAGGAGGAACCUGAACUCAGUGAGUCCAGACAUGGGAUGAGCGAUUCUAAUUUAAAACUGUGGGUUUGGAGUUCCCGUCGUGGCGCAGUGGUUAACGAAUCCGACUAGGAACCAUGAAGUUGCGGGUUCGGUCCCUGCCCUUGCUCAGUGGGUCAAGGUUCCGGUGUUGCCGUGAGCUGUGAUGUAGGUCGCAGAUGCAGCUCGGAUCCUGCAUUGCUGUGGCUCUGGCGUAGGCCGGUGGCUACAGCUCCGAUUGGACCCCUAGCCUGGGAACCUCCAUAUGCCACAGGAGUGGCCCAAGAAAUGGCAAAAAGACACAAAAAACAAAAACAAAAAAAAACCCUGUGGGUUUAAGUCCCAAUCUGGGUCUAGGCUGGGUUCGAGUCCCAGCACGUGGGUACAAGCCCCAAUCUGUGUCCUGGCUGGGUUCAGACCUCCGUGCUGUCAGUUUCAAAAGGGGCAGGAAGCAGGAACAAAGGUGGGGGCAGUUGGAUACUGUGAUCGCCUGUGUUGGACUCAAAGUGAAGGCUGUUUUAACAAGUGUGGCUGGACAAUGGAUCAGAGGUGUGCCCCUGCUGGAAAAGCGGACUUGCUGAUGAGCUGGUGAGCCGCCUCCUUCUCAGGGAGCCCCGGCAUCCUUGUCCAGCCCAGGACAACCUCCCCCUUCGUCCGAGGUAGAGAGUAGGUGACACAGUUAGCAGGGCCUGAUGAGUCUUCUAGUUCAGGGCACCCUAUCAGGGCAGAAGCCCUGUGGCACUGUCAUUACCCCCACUCUGCUAAAACGGAUGCAUCAUGAAAAGGCAAAGGCUAGGGGAGCCUGGCAGAUCAGGGCCUGCAUCUUGGCUCCACCAUUUUUCUUCUGAUAUGGAAACGCCUCGCUGUACCAGAUUCCUGGAGAAAACUCCAACAAUGUUCUUUCGUGCCCCUUCUCUGUAAUUGACCUGAAAUUCCCCUCUCGUAAACAUCUCUGUUCUGUCCCCUCAGGCAACACGAGCCCAGUGCAAUCUCUCGUUCACCUGAGAGCCCUUCACAUAUUUCUAUCUGGGCUCAGGUGAGCCUGGGGCCUGUCCUGAGUAGGCUAAACACCCCAGUUCUUCAACCCCUCCGCACAUGACGUGGUUUCCAGACCCUCCACUAGCUGAGUCACUCUCUGAAGGUUAACUCCAUACCCCCUUAAGGAAGGGCCAGGCAUGACCAGGAUCCCGGUUCAUUCUAGGCCCUGGAGGAGGGAAGGGGAGUUUCGCAGCUCGGCACCUGGGGAACCUAGGGGCCGGGAGAGCUUUCAUGCAAGAGGUGCCGGCAGUUUCCGGGGUUCACUGAGCGCCCCCCCACCCACCCUCGGGAUGCGUUUCCCCAGGGCGGCUGUGCGGGCUGUUUACAUACUGUUAAAGGGAACAUCACGUCCAGCACCAGCGGGUCUGGUACCUCUCUGCCAGGCAGGAAAAAACAACGCCAGGCACUUGCACUGUUUACCUCCGCUAGAUAAAAACACAGCAUGCGCUAACGCAGCCUCCCACUCUUUCGCCUGCCUCCCGGCUCCCCCUCCCUUUCAGCGGCGCGCAUGCCGCCCCGCCCU